rnacentral:tRNA from 1 species
CCAAUGGCUGAGAUGGUAAAAAGCAUCUGCCUACAAUGCAGGAGACCUGGGUUCAAUCCCUGGGUUGGG